AGAAAUGUAAACUUUGGUUCAAAAACCAGUUCGAGUGUUUAAGAACAUUAUUUGUGCUUUUUUAGCUGCCAAAGGUGAAACUGGUGCGAUUUUUAAAGGAACUGCAAUUGCAGGCACUGGGAAGUAAAAACAAAAGAAGAUAUUUAAUUACUUCUGUGAAAGAGUGAGAAGAAAUAAAAUCGAGGAAAGAUGAACUCCGGAGAUGGCUGUAGAGCGAAUCGCGAGCUGCCGUCAACGUCGAAACGGCGAUCCGAAGAUUCGGAGAAAGAACCUCCCAGAUGGUAAAAAAAGAGUCUAAAACAAGUGCAGCAAGGUGUGUACUGUGUUUAAAAGUUACGGACUGUCCAAGUAAAUAACGUCAGAAAACUGUGAUGUCACAUUUUUUGUUAUCCUCACCCUCAAAGGGUGACAUUAUUUGUGAGGGAACCCUCCUAACUGAGCAUUUCAGUUUAUUUUUUUAUUUUUUAUCCGUGUUGUAGCUCAUGUAUUUAGAAUCGGCAUGUCAAGGCCAAAUAUCUUUUCCACAAUAAAAGUUGGGGCAAAAAAGCAAAAGAACAUCAACUAUGGGCAAGUGCACCUGUUUUUACGUGUGUUUGACAGUAAUUCUUAACUCAAGAGUUUUUAUGUGUAACUUCGGAUUUUUUUGUUCAGAACUGGUUGUAAAAGUUUUUCCACUCAAAAUAAUGAAAACGUGAUUCAAAAUAAAACAUUUAGAGGGGGAAAAACAUUCCAUAAACCCUAUUUUUGUGGAAAUAAAACUUUAAGCAUCAAGAACUCACAAAUUUUUGGGCUGAAGAGUAAUUAUAAUCAAUAUUAAAAAAGCAUAAUUUUGCAGAUAAUGGUAAACAUGAGUUUCAGGGUUACAAGGAAAAAUCAGUUGAGGACCCUCCUGGUAUCUCUCAAAUCUUCUUCACAUCAAUGAAUUUAUGUUUUGGCGCUAAAAACGGAGCUCCUUAACAUAUUUAUAAUAUUUCACGCAAAUGUUGUACUAUUUAUAUGUCGUUGUUUACCUUUAACUUGUACUAAUAAAAUAAC